rnacentral:rRNA from 1 species
CGGGACGGGUGAGUAAUGUCUGGGAAACUGCCUGAUGGAGGGGGAUAACUACUGGAAACGGUAGCUAAUACCGCAUAACGUCGCGAGACCAAAGAGGGGGACCUUAGGGCCUCUUGCCAUCGGAUGUGCCCAGAUGGGAUUAGCUAGUAGGUGGGGUAACGGCUCACCUAGGCGACGAUCCCUAGCUGGUCUGAGAGGAUGACCAGCCACACUGGAACUGAGACACGGUCCAG